GUCCAUUCGAAGAUAUCUAAUAAAUUGGAACGAUAAAGAGAAGAUUAACAAUUAACAUUUCUCAUGCACAAGAUGACAUGCAUAAUUAGAGAAAUACACACAAUUAUU